GGCCUGCAGUACGGUGAAACGAUUUCAGAAAUUGGAGCUUAGAGUGCGGUGGUGAAAACCUGGACGUGGGGAACACGCCGCCGGGCCGCCACGUGUCCCGAGUCGUGGUGGCGGCCGGCUUCGAGCUUAGGCGUGCGGAGGCGGCCGCUGGUGGCCGCGGCGCUGCGCGCGGCCUGGUUGUUGCGCCCGGGCAGCCGCUGACUGAGCCUGGGAGGCGGCCGGCAGAAGACAACAUUCCUGGGAUUUGGGGGCGGGGGGUUACCCUUAACGUUAAGAGCGAGAGGCCUGUGAUAGGGUGUCUUUCUCCCAUGGCCAGAUCAACAGUUAUUUCCAAACGGGCAGCCCCUGACUCGGCGUGAGACAGUUGUAUUGUGCCCAGGUGGCGCUGUGUGCAAAUAGCAUUAUUGCAGGGGAGGAGUUUAGUGCUGAAAACCUUGAACUAUGACAUUCUGUGAGACUGCUUAACUUUAAAUAGAUGCCCCGCAAGAACAAUGGCUUUCGGCGUAACGGAGCUGUUAUGUGGAGAGACUGAGAGGCAAAGGAAAGUUCCAAAACGUAUGGGAGAAGGUUUGCUGGAAAAUGACUUGGUUAAAACCUGACAAUCUUACCAGCAUCCUGCAGGUCGAUGAACAUUAAUGAAGCUAUGACCGUCACCGAUUGAUGAUGAACAGCUUCAUUUGAAAAGACAGGGGUCGCUGUCUGCCUAUUGAAAGAGGCCAGUUUGCCAUGAAGUUCCUAAGGUGUAAACAUGUCUGGUUAGUGCCACGAGAUUUACUUGUCUGUUGUAUGAAAAACUGGUGAUCAGGAAAAGCUCUUCAUUUUAUGGACACGGAAAGAAAACAAAACUCAAGACAGAUUAUUUAUUUUUAAUUUUGAAAUUGC